rnacentral:rRNA from 1 species
GGGUUGUGAGGUUAAGCGACUAAGCGUACACGGUGGAUGCCCUGGCAGUCAGAGGCGAUGAAGGACGUGCUAAUCUGCGAAAAGCGUCGGUAAGGUGAUAUGAACCGUUAUAACCGGCGAUGUCCGAAUGGGGAAACCCAGUGCAAUUCGUUGCACUAUCGUUAACUGAAUACAUAGGUUAACGAGGCGAACCGGGGGAACUGAAACAUCUAAGUACCCCGAGGAAAAGAAAUCAACCGAGAUUCCCCCAGUAGCGGCGAGCGAACGGGGAGCAGCCCAGAGUCUGAAUCAGCUUGUGUGUUAGUGGAACGGUCUGGAAAGUCCGACGGUACAGGGUGAUAGUCCCGUACACCAAAAUGCACAGGCUGUGAACUCGAAGAGUAGGGCGGGACACGUGGUAUCCUGUCUGAAUAUGGGGGGACCAUCCUCCAAGGCUAAAUACUCCUGACUGACCGAUAGUGAACCAGUACCGUGAGGGAAAGGCGAAAAGAACCCCGGCGAGGGGAGUGAAAAAGAACCUGAAACCGUGUACGUACAAGCAGUGGGAGCACCUUCGGGUGUGACUGCGUACCUUUUGUAUAAUGGGUCAGCGACUUAUAUUCUGUAGCAAGGUUAACCGUAUAGGGGAGCCGCAGGGAAACCGAGUCUUAACUGGGCGUUAAGUUGCAGGGUAUAGACCCGAAACCCGGUGAUCUAGCCAUGGGCAGGUUGAAGGUUGGGUAACACUAACUGGAGGACCGAACCGACUAAUGUUGAAAAAUUAGCGGAUGACUUGUGGCUGGGGGUGAAAGGCCAAUCAAACCGGGAGAUAGCUGGUUCUCCCCGAAAGCUAUUUAGGUAGCGCCUCGUGAACUCAUCUUCGGGGGUAGAGCACUGUUUCGGCUAGGGGGUCAUCCCGACUUACCAACCCGAUGCAAACUACGAAUACCGAAGAAUGUUAUCACGGGAGACACACGGCGGGUGCUAACGUCCGUCGUGAAGAGGGAAACAACCCAGACCGCCAGCUAAGGUCCCAAAGUCAUGGUUAAGUGGGAAACGAUGUGGGAAGGCACAGACAGCCAGGAUGUUGGCUUAGAAGCAGCCAUCAUUUAAAGAAAGCGUAAUAGCUCACUGGUCGAGUCGGCCUGCGCGGAAGAUGUAACGGGGCUAAACCAUGCACCGAAGCUGCGGCAGCGACACUAUGUGUUGUUGGGUAGGGGAGCGUUCUGUAAGCCUGCGAAGGUGUGCUGUGAGGCAUGCUGGAGGUAUCAGAAGUGCGAAUGCUGACAUAAGUAACGAUAAAGCGGGUGAAAAGCCCGCUCGCCGGAAGACCAAGGGUUCCUGUCCAACGUUAAUCGGGGCAGGGUGAGUCGACCCCUAAGGCGAGGCCGAAAGGCGUAGUCGAUGGGAAACAGGUUAAUAUUCCUGUACUUGGUGUUACUGCGAAGGGGGGACGGAGAAGGCUAUGUUAGCCGGGCGACGGUUGUCCCGGUUUAAGCAUGUAGGCUGAUUAUCCAGGCAAAUCCGGAUAAUCAAGGCUGAGGUGUGAUGACGAGGCACUACGGUGCUGAAGUAACAAAUGCCCUGCUUCCAGGAAAAGCCUCUAAGCAUCAGGUAACAUCAAAUCGUACCCCAAACCGACACAGGUGGUCAGGUAGAGAAUACCAAGGCGCUUGAGAGAACUCGGGUGAAGGAACUAGGCAAAAUGGUGCCGUAACUUCGGGAGAAGGCACGCUGGUGUGUAGGUGAAGCCCCUGCGGGUGGAGCUGAGACCAGUCGAAGAUACCAGCUGGCUGCAACUGUUUAUUAAAAACACAGCACUGUGCAAACACGAAAGUGGACGUAUACGGUGUGACGCCUGCCCGGUGCCGGAAGGUUAAUUGAUGGGGUUAUCCGUAAGGAGAAGCUCUUGAUCGAAGCCCCGGUAAACGGCGGCCGUAACUAUAACGGUCCUAAGGUAGCGAAAUUCCUUGUCGGGUAAGUUCCGACCUGCACGAAUGGCGUAAUGAUGGCCAGGCUGUCUCCACCCGAGACUCAGUGAAAUUGAACUCGCUGUGAAGAUGCAGUGUACCCGCGGCAAGACGGAAAGACCCCGUGAACCUUUACUAUAGCUUGACACUGAACAUUGAGCCUUGAUGUGUAGGAUAGGUGGGAGGCUUUGAAGCGUGGACGCCAGUCUGCGUGGAGCCAACCUUGAAAUACCACCCUUUAAUGUUUGAUGUUCUAACGUUGGCCCCUGACCGGGGUUGCGGACAGUGUCUGGUGGGUAGUUUGACUGGGGCGGUCUCCUCCCAAAGCGUAACGGAGGAGCACGAAGGUUAGCUAAUCCUGGUCGGACAUCAGGAGGUUAGUGCAAUGGCAUAAGCUAGCUUGACUGCGAGCGUGACGGCGCGAGCAGGUGCGAAAGCAGGUCAUAGUGAUCCGGUGGUUCUGAAUGGAAGGGCCAUCGCUCAACGGAUAAAAGGUACUCCGGGGAUAACAGGCUGAUACCGCCCAAGAGUUCAUAUCGACGGCGGUGUUUGGCACCUCGAUGUCGGCUCAUCACAUCCUGGGGCUGAAGUAGGUCCCAAGGGUAUGGCUGUUCGCCAUUUAAAGUGGUACGCGAGCUGGGUUUAGAACGUCGUGAGACAGUUCGGUCCCUAUCUGCCGUGGGCGCUGGAGAAUUGAGGGGGGCUGCUCCUAGUACGAGAGGACCGGAGUGGACGCAUCACUGGUGUUCGGGUUGUCAUGCCAAUGGCACUGCCCGGUAGCUAAAUGCGGAAGAGAUAAGUGCUGAAAGCAUCUAAGCACGAAACUUGCCCCGAGAUGAGUUCUCCCUGAGACUUUAAGUCUCCUGAAGGAACGUUAAAGACGAUGACGUUGAUAGGCCGGGUGUGUAAGCGCAGCGAUGCGUUGAGCUAACCGGUACUAAUGAACCGUGAGGCUUAACCUUACAACGCCGAAG